CGGGGUGUAGCGCAGCUUGGCUAGCGCAUUUGCUUUGGGAGCAAAGGGUCGCAGGUUCGAAUCCUGUCACCCCGACCA
rnacentral:tRNA from 1 species